rnacentral:rRNA from 1 species
AUGAACGCUUGCGGCGUGCCUAAUACAUGCCAGUCGAGCGAACAGACGAGGAGCUUGCUCCUCUGACGUUAGCGGCGGACGGGUGAGUAACACGUGGAUAACCUACCUAUAAGACUGGGAUAACUUCGGGAAACCGGAGCUAAUACCGGAUAAUAUAUUGAACCGCAUGGUUCAAUAGUGAAAGACGGUUUUGCUGUCACUUAUAGAUGGAUCCGCGCCGCAUUAGCUAGUUGGUAAGGUAACGGCUUACCAAGGCAACGAUGCGUAGCCGACCUGAGAGGGUGAUCGGCCACACUGGAACUGAGACACGGUCCAGACUCCUACGGGAGGCAGCAGUAGGGAAUCUUCCGCAAUGGGCGAAAGCCUGACGGAGCAACGCCGCGUGAGUGAUGAAGGUCUUCGGAUCGUAAAACUCUGUUAUUAGGGAAGAACAAAUGUGUAAGUAACUAUGCACGUCUUGACGGUACCUAAUCAGAAAGCCACGGCUAACUACGUG